UUUUGCUGUGUAUCCUUCCGAGCGCGCAACCCUUAGCAGCCAUCCAUGCGUUGAACUUGUAACCCACUUUACCUUCCACUUUUGGUAAUGAAUAUUUCGUGAUUCUGAAUCUGUUUCCAGGUUGAGGAAUCUUCGAUUCGAUUAUUCGGAGUGUCGGCACGGCACGUGCCUACUUUUGAGAGCAGUAGAAGAGGCAAAUUGGGUUUAAGUUGAUAAUAGUCUUCUUAGAAGCACUUGAAGAAGCACAUAUUGCUUUUUUAUGUUUCAAAAUUUCUCCCCUUUUUCUAAUUUUCUGUGCUGCAAGAAUCCGAAGACCACGUUCCCUUUCAGGAGCAGAUUCCGAUGAGGGGCCGCCGGUACCAGCCGUGAGUAUUUUUAAUCUAUUCAAUCGAAUAACUGUUCGUUAUUCGACAAGUGAAAUAUUUGCUUGCUUCAUUUUUGCCUUCUACCAGCUUGAUUUCAUGUAUCUUUGCCUUUCCAACUGAAGAAAACAAAAAACUUAUUCAAUUUUUUCCUUGAUUAGGUAUGUUGUAAUAAGGAAUGGACAAGUCAAAUAUGGAUAACGUGAGAGCACGAGAGAAUGAGAGUAUUAGGGCCUGUUUGGUACCGUUUU
rnacentral:lncRNA from 1 species